CAGCCGCCACGGGAAUACGGAGGGGGCUAGCGUUGUUCGGAAUUACUGGGCGUAAAGCGCACGUAGCCGGCUUUGUAAGUUAGAGGUGAAAGCCUGGGGCUCAACUCCAGAAUUGCCUUUAAGACUGCAUCGCUUGAACGUCGGAGAGGUGAGUGGAAUUCCGAGUGUAGAGGUGAAAUUCGUAGAUAUUCGGAAGAGCACCAGUGGCGAAGGCGGCUCACUGGACGACUGUUGACGCUGAGGUGCGAAAGCGUAGGGAGUAAACGGGAUUAGAUACCCCCGUAGUCCCUGUCUCUUAUAA
rnacentral:rRNA from 1 species